CACUAGCAUCACUGUGCCUGACUUUCUAACCGCUGACACGACUCACUGCUAUGCUGAACAGCUUCUUGACAUCUGCACACCGUACAAUGCAAACGACACGGAGAAAGUACGCGAACAAAUCAAUUGCACCAACUACGACGUUAACUACAAGGUCCUCGCACUGACACUGGCCCUCGACGCUUCUGUGGCGGCAACUCUCCCGGAAGAAGGCCGCAACCAAA